rnacentral:misc_RNA from 1 species
UUUGCGGCUGGAUCCCCUCCUUUCCAAGGAUUUUUACAUGACGUACGUUUUUACACUUUGUUCAGUUUUGAGAGUUCAAUCUCUCAAUUAUAGAAAGCACACUACUUUCUUCUUAUUAGAUAAGAAGAAUUUUGGUUGCGAUUGCUCUUUGAAAACUAGAUAACAGUAAUUGCUGAGGAAAAGUGAAACUUUUCUUUAAUCAAACCAAUAAAUAACACAACAUUAUGUUGUACCAUUUAUUCGCUAAUGGUUAAGUUAGAAAGGGCGCACGGUGAAUGCCUUGGCACUAGGAGCCGAUGAAGGACGGGACUAACACCGAUAUGCUUCGGGGAGCUGUAAGUGAGCUUUGAUCCGGAGAUUUCCGAAUGGGGAAACCCGG